rnacentral:rRNA from 1 species
GUCCACGCCCUAAACGAUGUCAACUGGUUGUUGGACGGCUUGCUGUUCAGUAACGAAGCUAACGCGUGAAGUUGACCGCCUGGGGAGUACGGCCGCAAGGUUGAAACUCAAAGGAAAUUGACGGGGGACCCGGCACAAGCGGUGGGAUGAUGUGGUUUAAUUUCGAUGCAACGCGAAAACCUUAACCUACCCUUGACAUGCCAGGAACUUGCCAGAGAUGGCUUGGUGCUCGAAAGAGAACCUGGACACAGGUGCUGCAUGGCCGUCGU